UUGACCUCAAAUCAAGCAAGAUUACCCGCUGAA
rnacentral:rRNA from 2 species